rnacentral:piRNA from 1 species
CUUGCCUUCUGCUCUCCCUUG